rnacentral:rRNA from 1 species
UGAGGGAAAGUUGCAAAAGAACUUUGAAGAGAGAGUUCAAGAGUACGUGAAACUGCUCAGAGGCAAACGGGUGGGCCCUCGAAAUCCUUUUGCGGAGGGAUUCAGUCGGGAGCGAGGGAGGCGGACGGGUGCCGGACCCCUGAAAGAGGCCGGGCCCCGAACCGUGGUCUCUCUCGUGCCCGACGCACUUCCCCCCGCACCGAGGACGCCGCGACCGAUCGGGUAGCUGCGAGAGUCGGCCUUGAGCCGGUUCCAGGAGGUGACCGGGCGGCUGGGCCUCGGCUCAGUCCCCGGUUUCUAACGGGACCGCGCGUGGCGCGACACCCGAUCGAGGUCGAGGUUCCCCUUACGGGGAACGCGCCGUCUCCUGCUUUCCAGCAGCGGAGCAUCGGGCCAGUGCGCACCGACGAGAGCGGAUCCACUCCCCGCAGUGGCCGCUCCGUCGGGACAGCCGUCGUUGGGUCCGAGCGACCGCGGAGGGAAUCGAAACGGUCGGCGGCGAGUAGGUCGGUCACCCACCCGACCCGUCUUGAAACACGGACCAAGGAGUCUAACAUGUGCGCGAGUCGCAGGGUCUUGUUCAGGCCCUCGGGCGCAAUGAAAGUGAAGGCUCUUCCUCUGGGAGAGCCGAGUUGGGACUCCCGACCCAGAGUCGGGAAGCACCAACGGCCCGUCCAGCUCGCCUCGGCGGCAGGGCGGAGUCGGAGCGCACACGUUGGGACCCGAAAGAUGGUGAACUAUGCCUGGGCAGAACGAAGCCAGAGGAAACUCUGGUGGAGGUUCGUAGCGGUUCUGACGUGCAAAUCGAUCGUCAGACCCGGG